AUUAAUGCCAUCACAAUGCUCAUUGCUCACGAAGGAGACCAAAACAAAAUAUGAGAUAAAGAUCUCGAAGCACUGUUUCACGAUUUGAGAAGUUGGGUUCGAUCCAAAGCAGGUUUCGCGCUUUCACAACGCUCACUAGCCAACGCACGAUAACUAUGACAUUCGAGAAGAACAGAUA